rnacentral:rRNA from 1 species
AUUGUGAGCUCGAUGAGUAGGGCGGGACACGUGGUAUCCUGUCUGAAUAUGGGGGGACCAUCCUCCAAGGCUAAAUACUCCUGACUGACCGAUAGUGAACCAGUACCGUGAGGGAAAGGCGAAAAGAACCCCGGCGAGGGGAGUGAAAAAGAACCUGAAACCGUGUACGUACAAGCAGUGGGAGCCUCUUAAUGGGGUGACUGCGUACCUUUUGUAUAAUGGGUCAGCGACUUAUAUUCUGUAGCAAGGUUAACCGAAUAGGGGAGCCGAAGGGAAACCGAGUCUUAACUGGGCGUUAAGUUGCAGGGUAUAGACCCGAAACCCGGUGAUCUAGCCAUGGGCAGGUUGAAGGUUGGGUAACACUAACUGGAGGACCGAACCGACUAAUGUUGAAAAAUUAGCGGAUGACUUGUGGCUGGGGGUGAAAGGCCAAUCAAACCGGGAGAUAGCUGGUUCUCCCCGAAAGCUAUUUAGGUAGCGCCUCGUGAAUUCAUCUCCGGGGGUAGAGCACUGUUUCGGCAAGGGGGUCAUCCCGACUUACCAACCCGAUGCAAACUGCGAAUACCGGAGAAUGUUAUCACGGGAGACACACGGCGGGUGCUAACGUCCGUCGUGAAGAGGGAAACAACCCAGACCGCCAGCUAAGGUCCCAAAGUCAUGGUUAAGUGGGAAACGAUGUGGGAAGGCCCAGACAGCCAGGAUGUUGGCUUAGAAGCAGCCAUCAUUUAAAGAAAGCGUAAUAGCUCACUGGUCGAGUCGGCCUGCGCGGAAGAUGUAACGGGGCUAAACCAUGCACCGAAGCUGCGGCAGCGACACUAUGUGUUGUUGGGUAGGGGAGCGUUCUGUAAGCCUGUGAAGGUGGCCUGUGAGGGUUGCUGGAGGUAUCAGAAGUGCGAAUGCUGACAUAAGUAACGAUAAAGCGGGUGAAAAGCCCGCUCGCCGGAAGACCAAGGGUUCCUGUCCAACGUUAAUCGGGGCAGGGUGAGUCGACCCCUAAGGCGAGGCCGAAAGGCGUAGUCGAUGGGAAACAGGUUAAUAUUCCUGUACUUGGUGUUACUGCGAAGGGGGGACGGAGAAGGCUAUGUUGGCCGGGCGACGGUUGUCCCGGUUUAAGCGUGUAGGCUGGUUUUCCAGGCAAAUCCGGAAAACCAAGGCUGAGGCGUGAUGACGAGGCACUACGGUGCUGAAGUGACAAAUGCCCUGCUUCCAGGAAAAGCCUCUAAGCAUCAGGUAACAUCAAAUCGUACCCCAAACCGACACAGGUGGUCAGGUAGAGAAUACCAAGGCGCUUGAGAGAACUCGGGUGAAGGAACUAGGCAAAAUGGUGCCGUAACUUCGGGAGAAGGCACGCUGAUAUGUAGGUGAAGCGACUUGCUCGUGGAGCUGAAAUCAGUCGAAGAUACCAGCUGGCUGCAACUGUUUAUUAAAAACACAGCACUGUGCAAACACGAAAGUGGACGUAUACGGUGUGACGCCUGCCCGGUGCCGGAAGGUUAAUUGAUGGGGUUAGCGGUAACGCGAAGCUCUUGAUCGAAGCCCCGGUAAACGGCGGCCGUAACUAUAACGGUCCUAAGGUAGCGAAAUUCCUUGUCGGGUAAGUUCCGACCUGCACGAAUGGCGUAAUGAUGGCCAGGCUGUCUCCACCCGAGACUCAGUGAAAUUGAACUCGCUGUGAAGAUGCAGUGUACCCGCGGCAAGACGGAAAGACCCCGUGAACCUUUACUAUAGCUUGACACUGAACAUUGAGCCUUGAUGUGUAGGAUAGGUGGGAGGCUUUGAAGUGUGGACGCCAGUCUGCAUGGAGCCGACCUUGAAAUACCACCCUUUAAUGUUUGAUGUUCUAACGUUGGCCCGUAAUCCGGGUUGCGGACAGUGUCUGGUGGGUAGUUUGACUGGGGCGGUCUCCUCCUAAAGAGUAACGGAGGAGCACGAAGGUUGGCUAAUCCUGGUCGGACAUCAGGAGGUUAGUGCAAUGGCAUAAGCCAGCUUGACUGCGAGCGUGACGGCGCGAGCAGGUGCGAAAGCAGGUCAUAGUGAUCCGGUGGUUCUGAAUGGAAGGGCCAUCGCUCAACGGAUAAAAGGUACUCCGGGGAUAACAGGCUGAUACCGCCCAAGAGUUCAUAUCGACGGCGGUGUUUGGCACCUCGAUGUCGGCUCAUCACAUCCUGGGGCUGAAGUAGGUCCCAAGGGUAUGGCUGUUCGCCAUUUAAAGUGGUACGCGAGCUGGGUUUAGAACGUCGUGAGACAGUUCGGUCCCUAUCUGCCGUGGGCGCUGGAGAACUGAGGGGGGCUGCUCCUAGUACGAGAGGACCGGAGUGGACGCAUCACUGGUGUUCGGGUUGUCAUGCCAAUGGCACUGCCCGGUAGCUAAAUGCGGAAGAGAUAAGUGCUGAAAGCAUCUAAGCACGAAACUUGCCCCGAGAUGAGUUCU